AUUGAACGCUGGCGGCAGGCUUAACACAUGCAAGUCGAGCGGAGAUGAGGUGCUUGCACCUUAUCUUAGCGGCGGACGGGUGAGUAAUGCUUAGGAAUCUGCCUAUUAGUGGGGGACAACAUUCCGAAAGGAAUGCUAAUACCGCAUACGUCCUACGGGAGAAAGCAGGGGAUCUUAGGACCUUGCGCUAAUAGAUGAGCCGAAGUCGGAUUAGCUCGUUGGUGGGGUAAAGGCCUACCAAGGCGACGAUCUGUAGCGGGUCUGAGAGGAUGAUCCGCCACACUGGGACUGAGACACGGCCCAGACUCCUACGGGAGGCAGCAGUGGGGAAUAUUGGACAAUGGGGGGAACCCUGAUCCAGCCAUGCCGCGUGUGUGAAGAAGGCCUUAUGGUUGUAAAGCACUUUAAGCGAGGAGGAGGCUACUGAGACUAAUACUCUUGGAUAGUGGACGUUACUCGCAGAAUAAGCACCGGCUAACUCUGUGCCAGCAGCCGCCGUAACAC
rnacentral:rRNA from 1 species